AAGGAAUUGACGGGGGCCCGCACUAGGCGGAGGAACAUGUGGUUUAAUUCGAUGAUACGCGAGGAACCUUACCCGGGCUCAAACGACGGAUGGAUGUUUCUGAAAGGAGGCAGUCNUACGGGACAUCCGUCGAGGUGCUGCAUGGUUGUCGUCAGCUCGUGCCGUGAGGUGUCGGCUUAAGUGCCAUAACGAGCGCAACCCCCAUCGCCAGUUACCAGCAAGUAAAGUUGGGGACUCUGGCGAGACUGCCGGCGCAAGUUGUGAGGAAGGCGGGGAUGACGUCAAAUCAGCACGGCCCUUACGUCCGGGGCGACACACGUGUUACAAUGGCAGGUACAGAGAGAAGCGAUGCGGCGACGCAGAGCGGAACUUCAAAGCCUGUCUCAGUUCGGAUUGGAGUCUGCAACCCGACUCCAUGAAGCUGGAUUCGCUAGUAAUCGCGCAUCAGCCACGGCGCGGUGAAUACGUUCCCGGGCCUUGUACACACCGCCCGUCAAGCCAUGGAAGCCGGGAGUGCCUGAAGUGUGCAACCGCAAGGAGCGCCCUAAGGUAAAACCGGUGACUGGGGCUAAGUCGUAACAAGGUAACCGU
rnacentral:rRNA from 1 species